AGCCCGAACCUACGACAACCUGGACGCCUGUGUGGUUGUGAGGUCUCCUGACUUGGCAACAGCUGCGUCCCUCAUGGAGGUAGAGCCUAAAGAUGUGAUGGUGUGCCUGACCACUCGGACCCUCAUCACGCGAGGGGAAAGUGUCACCACGCCCCUCAGCAUGAACCAAGGUCUGGAUGUCAGAGAUGCCUUCGUCAAGGGGAUCUACGGGAGGCUGUUUGUGUGGAUCGUCGAUAAGAU